rnacentral:rRNA from 1 species
GUGUCAGCAGCCGCGGUAAUACGUAGGAUCCGAGCGUUGUCCGGAUUUACUGGGUGUAAAGGGUGCGCAGGCGGACUGGUAAGUCAGUGGUGAAAUCUCGUCGCUUAACGACGAAACUGCCUUUGAUACUAUCAGUCUUGAGUCCGGUAGAGAUCUGUGGAAUUCCGAGUGUAGCAGUGAAAUGUGUAGAUAUUCGGAAGAACACCAGUGGCGAAGGCAGCAGAUUGGGCCGGUACUGACGCUCAUGCACGAAAGCGUGGGGAUCAAACAGGAUUAGAUACCCUAGUAGUCC